rnacentral:lncRNA from 1 species
UUUUCUCUUGUUUAUUGCAUCCUAGCAAACAUUACACUUGAUCAGUCACAUAUUUGACGCCUAUUCAACGCAUCUUCAAAGCGAAUGCAUGAUCCUACCCUCAUCUCUGUACUCAUGUCAUUCUCUGGUGCUGGAUAGUAAUCCUCUCUCAGCUGAACAUCUCUCAGAUUUGGUAUUUUGAGGAAGUAGUUCAUGAAGUGUUCAUGAGUUGUUCCAUGAAUGAAAAGCUUCCUCAAAGUAUAGCAUUCUUGCAACAGGCCAGCAGCUGGAAGAGACAGACUCCUCUGGUUCACAUCCUCAUCUUGUGGUGGCCAGUAAUGAAGUUCAUUUAGACUCAAGCUACCGAUCCCAUUAAGGAAGAACCUCUCCCACCAACUCAAAUCCAAUUGGCCGGAAGGCGCUGUGUAUACAUAACCUUUUGUAUCGCCACAAUCCAGCUGCAUCUUUGACAACUGAGGAUAACAAGCUAGAAUGCUCAAACCAAAUUCGCGCACUGCCGGUUUGGGCUGUCCUCUGCAAUCUCCUUCGACUUUUAUACGAAUCUCUUCUAGAUUGGGGCAAUCCUCCAACCCUGCUACUGGCAACUGAGUCAAAAGUUCACCAACCUUUAUCCAAAGAGAAAGAUACUCCAACCUAUCCCAGCUAUAGCCAUAGUAUCCAUUGCCGUUACCAUUGCCAUUGCUUUGCACAAACAAAUCAUCAGCCUCCAAUCCAUACUCACACCUUUGCCUCUUCCUCAUGCUUGUGUCUUCUCCACAUUCCUCACCUCCAAAGCAAUCCAUUAACUCUGAACCGUUCAGUUCAUCCAAAGUGUUCAGAUCAAAGUUGAACAAACCUUGUCCGAAGUUAUCACUUUCUUUCCAUAUACAAUCCAAGUGAAGCCGCUCAAUCCGGUCCCGAAUAGGCUCCAAAGCUCUAAGAGUAGCAGCCGCAUCCAGGUUGACACAUGAAGCAACCUUAACAUCAAUCAAAGUCCUUCGAAGCAAACACGCCAUAGUCCUCAACCCUUUUUCAGUAACAAGCUUACAACCCUGAAUCUCAAAUCUCACCAACCGUGAACACCCUCUCCCAAUCUCAAUCAACCCCAUAUCAUCAAGAUCACCACACGUGUUAACAGACAACGAUUGAAGCCCAUGGCAAAGCGCAAUUCCGUCAAGCCGUGACCCAAUUGCCAAACAAAUCCCCUGAAACUGACCCAACUUCACAACCUUCAAAUUAGGACAUUUAGAACUCAACAUCUCCAAAGCAAAACUAGUCUCGGUGACAUUUUUACAAACAUCUAGCACCAAUUCUUCCAGAAGAGGCAACCCAGUGAACAACGCUACAAGCGUGGCACGACUCACCCUAGCAUCCUCUACACCUUCUUCCUCUCUCCGAUUCGAAAACGACGACGUAUCAGCCAUGUGAAGAAGUUUCAGCUUAGGACAAUUAGAAGCGACGGCCAAUAAAGUUUCGUCACCGACAAAACCGAUGUAUCUCGGAUCAAAAGUGCAUGCAACAAGAAAGUGUUCCAGAUUAGGGCAAGAUGAAGUGAUGGAUUCGAUUUGGUUAGACUUGAACCCCUCCGUGAACGACGUCGUUAAGAGAUUCAAACGACGGAGUGAGGCGGCUGUGGUAGUAUUCUCCGCCAAAACCGGUGGAAGAUCCUCCGGCCAGUGAUAGAACGAUGAAAGAUCAAGUGAAGUAAUCGAUCGGCACCGUGAGAACAAGGCGUCGAAGUCUGACCCCGGUUGCAACCCCUGCGGCCGUUGAUGCCACCGAACAAGCCGAACAUCACGAAGCUCCGGCCAGUGGUUGAAGAGAAGAAGGUGAAGCGUGUGCGGGUCACGCACGUAGACAGUGAGUGAAGUCACGCGCGGGAAAGUAUUUCGUAACCGUUGAGCUAGAAGCGGAGAAUCAUUACCAGCAGGUGAACAGAACAGCGCGUGACCCCACGGCGAGAGAAGUGAUACAUCGAGAUGAGUAACGUUCGUGAAGGAAGUUGGAAUUCUGUAUAAGUCACGCGCGUUUCCUCGGAGCGUGAGGGAUAAUCGCGUUUUUCUCUCUAACUUGAAGAAGCUAUGACAUACUAAGGAGAGUGAGUUUCGAGUUCGUGUGUCAGUUAUUCCGGUGAAGACUUUCGAUAAAAUCUCCUCCGGUAGGUGGCUGACGGUGGUUGCUGAGUUGUUUCCUACCAUCACCGGUAAGAAAUUCUCACGAAAAUAACUACUUUCUUCUUUUUAGGAAUAUGUAUGAAGGAAAUUUAUAGAGGUAAGGUGAUUGGGGUAUUGAGUAUCAAUCAAUGAAAUCUAGUGAGUGAUAUUUGUGGCAGUUUCUGAGAUGUUAUAAAGAGUAAUGUUUUUAUUACAUUUUUAUUUUAUUUUAUUGUAUUGUGUAUGGUAGAGGAUGAUAUCAUAUGCUUGAUUGAUAAUGGGUAUUGAUGGGUAUGGUAUGGCUAUUAUUAGUCAUAAGAUUGAAAACACUUUGUUGGUUGGGUGAUGCAUAGCCACGUGAAUACGAUGUAUGUAGCUCACUAAAUUUUAAAGGGUUU